rnacentral:rRNA from 1 species
CCUACGGGCGGCAGCAGUGGGGAAUAUUGGACAAUGGGGGCAACCCUGAUCCAGCCAUGCCGCGUGUGUGAAGAAGGCCCUCGGGUUGUAAAGCACUUUCAGUGAGGAAGAACGCCUGGUGGUUAAUACCCAUCAGGAAAGACAUCACUCACAGAAGAAGCACCGGCUAACUCCGUGCCAGCAGCCGCGGUAAUACGGAGGGUGCGAGCGUUAAUCGGAAUUGCUGGGCGUAAAGCGCGCGUAGGUGGCUUGAUAAGCCGGUUGUGAAAGCCCCGGGCUCAACCUGGGAACGGCAUCCGGAACUGUCAAGCUAGAGUGCAGGAGAGGAAGGUAGAAUUCCCGGUGUAGCGGUGAAAUGCGUAGAGAUCGGGAGGAAUACCAGUGGCGAAGGCGGCCUUCUGGACUGACACUGACACUGAGGUGCGAAAGCGUGGGUAGCAAACAGGAUUAGAUACCCUAGUAGUC